rnacentral:rRNA from 1 species
UACGGAGGGUGCGAGCGUUGUCCGGAAUCAUUGGGCGUAAAGGGCGCGUAGGUGGCGCGGUAAGCGUGCGGUGAAAGCCUGGGGCUCAACCCCGGGUCGGCCGUGCGAACUGCUGGGCUUGAGCACUGUAGAGGCAGGCGGAAUUCCGGGUGUAGCGGUGGAAUGCGUAGAGAUCCGGAAGAACACCCGUGGCGAAAGCGGCUCUCUGGAACGGUACUGACGCUGAGACGCGAAAGCGUGGGGAGCGAACAGG